rnacentral:rRNA from 1 species
UCGGGAAUUUGGGCAAUGGGCGAAAGCCUGACCCAGCAACGCCGCGUGAAGGAUGAAGUAUUUCGGUAUGUAAACUUCGUAAGAAUAGGAAGAAUAAAUGACGGUACUAUUUGUAAGGUCCGGCUAACUACGUGCCAGCAGCCGCGGUAAUACGUAGGGUGCAAGCGUUAAUCGGAAUUACUGGGCGUAAAGCGUGCGCAGGCGGUUUUGUAAGUCUGAUGUGAAAUCCCCGGGCUCAACCUGGGAAUUGCAUUGGAGACUGCAAGGCUAGAAUCUGGCAGAGGGGGUAGAAUUCCACGUGUAGCAGUGAAAUGCGUAGAUAUGUGGAGGAACACCGAUGGCGAAGGCAGCCCCCUGGGUCAAGAUUGACGCUCAUGCACGAAAGCGUGGGGAGCAAACAGGAUUAGAUACCCCCGUAGUCCCUGAGCGGGCUGGCAAGGCGCAU